AACGCGAAGAACCUUACCCAGGUUUGAAAUACAGUGGGAUAUAGCAGAGAUGUUAUAGUCCGAAAGGACUGCUGUACAGGUGCUGCAUGGCUGUCGUCAGCUCGUGCCGUGAGGUGUUGGGUUAAGUCCCGCAACGAGCGCAACCCUUAUCAUUAGUUGCCAACACGCGAGGUGGGGACUCUAAUGAGACUGCCUAGGUUAACUAGGAGGAAGGUGAGGAUGAUGUCAAGUCCGCAUGGCCUUUAUAUCUGGGGCUACACACGUGCUACAAUGGUCGGUACAGAAGGGAGCAAGACCGCGAGGUGGAGCAAAUCCUAAAAGCCGACCCCAGUUCAGAUUGUAGUCUGCAACUCGACUACAUGAAGCCGGAAUUGCUAGUAAUGACGUGUCAGCAACAACGUCGUGAAUACGUUCCCGGGCCUUGUACACACCGUAGUAC
rnacentral:rRNA from 1 species